rnacentral:rRNA from 1 species
UACGUAGGCAGCAAGCGUUGUUCGGAGUUACUGGGCGUAAAGGGUGUGUAGGCGGCCUGUUAAGUUCCGUGUGAAAUCUCCCGGCUCAACCGGGAGGGUGCGCGGAAAACUGGCGGGCUAGAGUGCGGGAUGGGAGAGUAGAAUUCCUGGUGUAGCGGUGAAAUGCGUAGAUAUCAGGAGGAAUACCGGUGGUGUAGACGGCUCUCUGGACCGCAACUGACGCUGAAACACGAAAGCGUGGGGAGCGAACAGG